rnacentral:rRNA from 1 species
AUUGAACGCUGGCGGCGUGCUUAACACAUGCAAGUCGAUCGGUAACGCGGGGGCAACCCUGGCGACGAGAGGCGGACGGGUGAGGAACGCUUGGGAAUCUGCCCUUCAGCGGGGGACAACACGGGGAAACUCGUGCUAAUACCGCAUACGCUCCACGGAGGAAAGCCGGGGACCGCAAGGCCUGGCACUGAAGGAUGAGCCCAAGUCGGAUUAGCUAGUUGGCGGGGUAACGGCCCACCAAGGCGACGAUCCGUAGCUGGUCUGAGAGGACGAUCAGCCACACUGGGACUGAGACACGGCCCAGACUCCUACGGGAGGCAGCAGUGGGGAAUAUUGGACAAUGGGGGAAACCCUGAUCCAGCGACGCCGCGUGGGCGAAGAAGGCCUGCGGGUUGUAAAGCCCUUUCGGUAGGGACGAAAGCUCUCGACCUAACACGUCGGGAGGUUGACUUAACCUACAAAAGAAGCACCGGCUAACUCUGUGCCAGCCGCCGCGGUAAUAC